GCCACCACUGCACCUGACCUGUUCUCUGUUAGCUGGAACAAUCCAGUGGUGAGCUGAUAAUAAACCCUAGUUUAGGAGACAGCCUUGUUCUUCAUGUGGAUGACUCUGUGCUGAAAGUAUGGAAACAGCC